rnacentral:lncRNA from 1 species
AUGGAUCCUCAUUUGAGCGCUGUCGUCCUUUACUUCCUGGCUGGUCUUGUUGCGGAGCUAAAAGGCGAGCGAGCAAAGAUAUCGGACGGGGAUUCGCUUGAUAUGGACUGUGAUUUGAAUAAGUUAAGCACUGAAGAGCUGAGAAGUUAUGGAGACAUCUUAUACUUGCGUUUGGCAAAGGCAGAAGGUGCGACAGAGGUUGUUGGUUUUCUCAGGGAGCAUUUUAAAGGACGCAAGGAGGCCCUUACUUUGGCUGACGUAAGAUACGCUUUUGCCGAGUUGUCAAACAAAUUCAUCGACCCAGCAUUAAAAACAAGAGAUCGGUUGAAUGCUUUGAACGCCCUCUGGAUGCAACGAGUCAAUGCUACCAACACUACGCCAAAAUAAGUCAUGUAGAUGUGUCAAACAAGAACCGAAUAAUUGUGAAGUGGAAAGUCCGGAUAGUGCCGCUCCAAAAAACAAUGGUAAGUCUCGAGCAAAAAUACUUACCGCACUGUUUGUUUGUUUCAUAAUUUUUCGAAAUCACAGAAAAUUUAAAGUGAUUGUUCUUGGAAAAGUGUCCACAAGUCAGUCUUUGAGCGAGUGCACCACGGAGGGAUGAAAAAUUGUCUGAAAUUUCAAACAGACCGGAGUUAUGGUUAUUUGACAUUAGGACCUAUUUAUGUCCCGGACGUAAGUACACUUUAAGUGUGAUUUUUUGACCCCCUCCCCGCAACCCCAAAUAGGUUGAAAGACAUGUGACGGGUGGCGGGAAAGCCAUACGGUAUGACUGGAGUUAAUUCAAACACACACGACAGGUGUGCCGAGCCGAAAAUCAAUAGGCGGUUAUAGUCGAGAGAGAACGCGGGGAAAAGCUUAGAUUCAACGAGGAAAGUUCUCCAUCUCCCCCCGCCCCCCACUUUCUCAGCCGCCGCUAAGCCCGGUCGACUCUUACUAUACCACGCCUUCCAAUUUUCUUGGCUUGACAACACCAUAACAAGGCGCCCGCCCUUCGGCUGUCCCAUCCCUCCCUCUGAUGCCGUAUCUUGGAAUUUUCAUCCCUUAAUGUUCUGCACAUUUUCCAAAUAGCUUUUAUCAUGAUUCUAGUAAAUUGUUUUCUCCUAUCUCCGAAUCAGCCCGUCACUUGUUGUUGCAUCGAGGAAGCCAAUAAUUGAAUCAGUGAGGAUGAAAACGCACCAACUCGGAAAGAUGUAAAUUUCUGAGGCACAAAAAACUUCAUCUGCGGGCUCAUUGUUAAAUUGAUAGACAAAGCUAUAGACAAAGAGGAUAAAAAGGAAUAGACCGUAUUCGAUAGUGGUUCGAUGUAUCGUUUGGUUCAAAACAAUAGAACAUAACCUCAAACCAAACCAUCAGGAUGUAAGUUGAAAAAGCUGAAAAUGAGAAAAUUCCGAACAAUUUCACUUUGCAUCGGCAUUUGGUACUCAAAAGAAUAAAAAAUCUAUUUCAAAAGACCCGUUCCCUCAGAUUUCUGAAUUGACUCUUGAGGCUAUGUUUAUGUUUUGAACCAAUCGAUAUCGAUACAAUCUCACCCGUUUGAUGUGUCGAAUACAAUCUAUAUGAAGGUGGGAGAGGGCGGUUGCAAUGGACAUAGGAGGUAGGUAAUAGACUAACUAACGGCAACUCACGAGAGACCCUAUAAUUAGUCCAUCAUUUAGCUCCCUAGUCUAUAAGAACUACCCAUUUCAACCAAUAGCAUCGCUCUUUACUCCCUAUGUCUUUUAUGACCAUCGCUUUGUCUAUCAGUUUCAAAAAUCAGCCCGCAGCAGCUGAAGAAGUUUUUUGAUUGUUGCACUGAAUAAGAC